UGUGACGUCACUGAGCGCUGAUAAGCGUCACUUCUUCUUCUCGUGGUGCUUACGCUUCUCUGACCUCUGCAGACCGAGCGCGGUCCUAAACGCAAGGAAAUGUCUCCUCCAGUGCAAGUCUCACCGCUGAUUAAGACAGCCAGAUGGUCUGCAUUGCUCGUUGGUAUUCUCUACGGAAAGCGCAGAUAUGAUAAUCUGAAACCAAUUGCGGAGGAGGAGAGGAGAAUAGAAGAGGAAGAGAAGAAGGUACGAGAGGAGAAGGAACGCAUUGCUAAGCAGCUAGCAGAAGCUAAUGAAGACACAAUCUUGAAGUGAGCUGCUCUAAACGACAUCUGUAUAAUUUCUGUUGUAAAGAUCGUAGAGUAAUGCUUGUGUUCUGCCACUUUGGUUUUACAGUGCCCUUUUCACACCUUUCACUGUUUUCAAAUAGAUCAUGUCCGAUUAAUGCCUCAUUGUGUUAAAUAAUUACUGAAUACAUGAAAAUGUGUAUAAAUUUCCUCCGAUCUGACUCUGUUUCUUCUUUCAUUGAAGAAUCUCUGAUUAUAAUGCGAUGCAGAAGAUGUAAAGCUUGCAAUGUAAUGUUGAAAAUACACUGAAUCAUAGUUCCACUUCGGUAAACAUCCACACCAAUAUUUAUUAAUAAAAAGAAAUCGGGAUUAACA